AUACAGACAGGACAUAGGUCAGAGAGGGCUUCCCAGAGGUCAUGGCGCCCAUACUGCCUCUGAAGAAGUUUACUCGAAGUAUAUUCAAUCACAGUUUAAGAUGGUGAUGCUCAGCUUCUGUCCCCAUGAUUCUGGGUUGGCAGCUGAGCUAACAUCAGACUUGACUUCCCUGGAGCCCGUGGGCCAUGGAGCCAUGUGCCUCAAGCCUAGUCCCUGCCCUAGACAACAGAAGGCUCAGUUUGCAAGCUCUGCCCACACAGAACACCCCAAGGAAUUCCUGUCUCCAGUCUGAGAGGUGGGUAUCUCUACUCUUGAUCUUCUUUGCAGAGCAAAGACAUCUGAUGAGUCUUAAGUCCAAGGAAUGGCUUUUCCUUCCCAGCUCCAGUUUGUAUAGAUCAGAGAAGAGGAGUGAUCACUCUUGCCCACAAGCACCUUCUUGAAGAGCGCCUCCCCAGUAGCAGAGGCCACAGCGAAUCCCUGCCUUUCAUUAGGUGGUGUAAUGAACCCAUCUGCCCAGCGGUGCCUCGGAGCAGCAUCCCCUUACCACGCACAUCUGUUCCUGCGAAUCUGCAGCAAGCAACACCGACCUCUAAGGGAUCGCGGGCGCUGGGGGACUUGUUUUUAUGUCAGCACACAUUUCUCCCCUUCUCCCUGGCUAGCUAUCUCCCUUUGUGUGGGAUAUCAGGGAGAUACAAUAUUCCUGAGCAUUUGGGGACAAUUUUGAAGGGCAGUCCCAU
rnacentral:lncRNA from 1 species